rnacentral:lncRNA from 1 species
CGACUUCAGCGCGCAAGGUAUGCUGUAUCAUUUCUAGAUGCAAGCUGCUAUUUUUGGGAACAAAGAAUAGAGCGGUGAAGGAUUCUGAAGAAACUCAUAUAAGGGGUAUUAAUGGUGGCAGAAAACAAACGGAAUUGCAGUGCCCAGGGAGGUGCAAUGGCCAAAGAAGCUGCUGUGAUGAUUGGACAGACGAAAAGGAAAUGUAAAGAAGGGAAAUCAAGGUUAUGCUAUCUCUCUAUUUGGCAGUGGUGUUACUGCUACUAAAGUAGCCCCAUUCAGUUAUCUGCAGUUCGAGAAGGAUGAUGAUAAAUUGGAGACACUACAGAGAAGAGUACUGAUAAUGAUUAAAGGAUUGGAAAAUGGCUUAUUUUCAAAGAUAGUGAUCUGUUUAACUUAUCAAUGAAGCAACUUAUCAGUCUAGAAGAACUGAUGUGUGGGAAAAGAGCUAACAGAGAACUCUUCACUCUGUACACUCUCCUCUGUAGGGAGGAUCUGCAGCUGGAAGUUAAAGACAACGCAGGCAUAAAUGACAAUAACAAUCUAACUCUGGCUUAGAUAAAUUACAUCUCUAACUCUGUCAGCCAUGAAAGAUUGAAAAAAGCAUAACCGAGAUAUGUGAGGUAAGCACAGUUUUUUCAUAAAUGUACCAAAAGUGGAACUGAAAGUACACUUGAAUUUAUAGUGUUUAAAUUUACCAUUUUUAAGUAAAACUUUGAAUUCAAAAUAACCAUUA